AUAAGAGACAGGAACUACGAGGGCAAUGAGACGACAUUUACGGCCAACGAGUCAGGACAAGGCUUCUGCGUGAAUGCCAUUGGCCUCAUCACAGCUGCCACAAUUUUCCUGCUAACACAAUUGGCCAUCAUUGGCAUUUGGACGUUUUGUUAUCAGCGGCGUCAGAAGCUGCAGUCUUAUCAGCAUUCAUACUAGACGCAGUUAAGUCAUGGAAU